rnacentral:rRNA from 1 species
GACAGAGGCCUCGAGCGUUAGGCGGAAUCACUGGGCUUAAAGCGUGUGUAGGCGGAUCGUUAAGUACCUUGUGAAAUCCCACGGCUCAACCGUGGAACUGCUGGGUAUACUGGCGAUCUUGAGCCACCUAGGGGCGAGCGGAACAAGCGGUGGAGCGGUGAAAUGCGUAGAUAUCGCUUGGAACGCCAAUGGUGAAAACAGCUCGCUGGGGGUGUGCUGACGCUGAGACACGAAAGCCAGGGGAGCGAACGGG